rnacentral:lncRNA from 1 species
UUGUCAACUGGACAUCUUCCAAUAAUUGUGGAUCUGUUAUGAAUUUGAAGCACAAUUUGGGAUUCGAUGACAUCUUCAGCUGCAUAAACUGCAUCAGCAAUGCGACGCUCCAAUAGUUCCGCCUCAUGGUCAUCCACAACUGGGGAAAUAUAAGCAUCAAGAAAUUCCUGCAAGAAGGUAACAUUUUCAGUGAGAGAUUCAACUUGCUGUUUGUCGAUAGAAAUUGGAGAGGAAGGAUGAUUUUCAAGCUGAUCUAUGAUAUUCAUAAGAGAAACCAGAGCUCCAUAAGCUGCCAUGAUUAACUCUUUAAUUAAUGUAUAUAUUUAUGGGAAAUGUGAAUGAAAAGAAGGCAAGCAAUCUGGUAUAUAUUAUGACUCCACAAUUGAG